rnacentral:other from 1 species
AGUUUCCUGGGAAGUUCGCGUUUUUAUCAUAUGCGAACCGAACAAAAAUGACAUGGGAUGUCGAGGCAUAUUUGGCGUCGAAUGCUUAUCUUUGAAUAAGAAUCCCGAGAAUAUGCAAAAAGAGACAUCCACUCUGUGAAAUUUCUGGUUUCACAAAGAAUAAUAACGACUUCCUGGGGACACU